ensembl:snoRNA Gm24401 predicted gene, 24401
AGCAUGGAAGACAAAUGCAAUAAUACAUCCUGUUUUGCAACCCAGAAGGCAUUGCUCAGUAUGAGUUUUGAUACACACCAAAAGGAAGGUG